AUUCACUUAUAUAUUGCGCACAACUAGUGUAGCAUGUCUUCAUUUGCCAUUCAUGGGCCAGUCAUCACCCAACAUUUUGUGCUUUCUGCAGUACCAAGCAAACUACAACUGAUACUUGUAUGUGGUAAGAUUCUGAUUAAAACAUUAUUGGUUGAUUAAAACCAUAAAAACCUACAGUUUAUGAAUUUGAACUAAAAUUACUUUUUCAGCACAAUAUAUUACUUUCAGAAUGGCAAUGGAAGUACUUCUAGCUGGGUGGGGGAUGGUUUAUACCAGCUUCCAAGAAUGGAUUAUUCAUUAAACUGACUCCAGUGUAUUUUAUUCAAUUAAAUUAAGUGUUUGAUUAUUUUUAAUAUAUAAUUAUACUUGAUUACCCAGUACAAUAUCUCUGACUUCUGUUAUAAGUAAACCUUAUGUUUACCUUAUGUAACCAGUUUGAAAUUAUGCCCCUAACUAUAAUAAAAC